rnacentral:rRNA from 1 species
GACGAACGCUGGCGGCGUGCCUAAUACAUGCAAGUAGAACGCUGAAGGAGGAGCUUGCUUCUCCGGAUGAGUUGCGAACGGGUGAGUAACGCGUAGGUAACCUGCCUGGUAGCGGGGGAUAACUAUUGGAAACGAUAGCUAAUACCGCAUAAGAGUAGAUGUUGCAUGACAUUUGCUUAAAAGGUGCAAUUGCAUCACUACCAGAUGGACCUGCGUUGUAUUAGCUAGUUGGUGAGGUAACGGCUCACCAAGGCGACGAUACAUAGCCGACCUGAGAGGGUGAUCGGCCACACUGGGACUGAGACACGGCCCAGACUCCUACGGGAGGCAGCAGUAGGGAAUCUUCGGCAAUGGACGGAAGUCUGACCGAGCAACGCCGCGUGAGUGAAGAAGGGUUUCGGAUCGUAAAGCUCUGUUGUAAGAGAAGAACGAGUGUGAGAGUGGAAAGUUCACACUGUGACGGUAGCUUACCAGAAAGGGACGGCUAACUACGUG